UAUCCUCUUCACCACUAGCCGUCCGGGUGAUGGGUCACACACUGUUGGCAGUACUGGGCUGUACCAGCUCCUGAACCAGCUCCAGUGUUGGUCAAGUCUUGUCACACUCGGUGCCGUCACAACACUCUCUGGUAGAUUGUUCCAACAGUUUACAACUCGCACUCAGUAAAAGUUUGUCCCUCACAGUUUUCUGGCCUUGACCUGUGACCCCUUGUGGGGCGAGCGUCCACCAGCUCCAAAAUCACCAAUGCUGUGCACUGUGCUUCUAUGAGUCAAGAGAAUAGAGAUAAGAAAUAAGGUCACAGAAUCUGGUUUCCUGUUAUGAGUUAAUAGCCUCAAUAACAGAAAAUAUAUUAGGGAGAUUUAAAAGAACUUGAGACUCUAGGCAAAAACGUGGUAGGAGCUCCAUAGAUAUUAAUUUAUUUACCAUCAACAACAAUGCCACCAGAAAAACCCCCCACCAACUCGCAAACACCGGACAGGAAGAAAGACGAAUCGACAUUCAAGACGCCUAACAAGACCCCAAGCAAGGACUUAGACACGAACACCAAAAUCCACCAAUCACAGAGAAGAGUGAGAGAGAAACAAGAGAUCCUGAGGAAAUUAAAGCUCGUCAAGAUGUAUCGGACUAAGUGGGAGACGCAGUCGUUGGACAAGGUUACGACCCGGUGGUUACGAGCUUGUCAGGAAGCAUUGGAGGAUCUCAGAGUGAAAGUUAGAGAGAGGAAUAUAAUUGACACUGGAGAGGUGGAACUAACUCUUCGAUCCCUAGUCGGUCAUCUUGGUAUCGAUCCACAGGUUGUUCAGUUGGAUCAGACAGAGGAUUGUUUCGACACUUCCAACCGUGACAAAGGUUUUAUAGGUUUUCCAGACCAGGAGACACCCGGUAACUGAGUGUGGAUACGUCGGAGUAGAACACAGAGCCGUGAACUGAAUCGCAGAGGGGACAUACAUAACACACUGCAAAUCGAACGACAGUAUGUAUAGCAUCAGCUCUGGAUGUAAGAGUGAAUAAUAAGAGACUGGAAAUUGAUCGAUAGGUUAGGUUAGGUUAGGUUAGGUUGGGAGAUGAGUGUCGGAGAGUUGAAUGGAAAGUUGACUAGGAUUUGAUAGGUUGAGAUGGAUAGAUGGAAAUAGGGAAGCAAGACUAAAAUAAGAAGAAAUGGAAGAAAAUUUUUAAAAUAAUCAUCAUAAGAAUUUCAGAUGAAUUAUUAUACAUGAUUUUGAAUGAUAUCUGCCCACCCAUAGUCUAUACUGGGUAUCACUGUAUGUAUGUAUGUAUGUCUGUCUCAAUAAAAACACACAGGAAAAGGGAAACGUAUGUAAUGAUGUAAUGUAUGUAUGUAUGUAUGUAUAUAUGUAUGUAUGUAUGUAUGUAUGUAUGUAUGUAUAGGGCUUUAAACACACACAAUGACAAACAUGGAUAAAGAAAGUUGAAUCAAUAAAUAUAUGUAUAAGUUUACUGAAUUUUCAAAUAAAAAAAUUAUAAUUA
rnacentral:misc_RNA from 1 species